AACGCACCUUGCGCCCCCUGGUAUUCCGGGGAGCACACCUGUUCGAGUGUCUUGAAACUGUCAAGCUGGGGGUGCCUUUCGUUUGGAAAGGUUGCCUCUGCUUGGUUAUUGGGUUCUGCCGUGUCCCCUGCACUUGUUGGGGAAUGGGCUAGCCUUAAAAGUAUCAGCUGACCUUGAUAAUCUACUCGGCGUAUUAAUGAUACAUGAACCGCAGAGGACAUUACAAUCUUAGGUUGCUUUCUAAUCUGGUAUUGGUGGUUCUUAGGAAUUCAUCAUCCAUCUUCAGAUUUGACCUCGAAUCAGGUGGGACUACCCGCUGAACUUAA
rnacentral:misc_RNA from 1 species